rnacentral:rRNA from 1 species
AUUGAACGCUGGCGGCAGGCCUAACACAUGCAAGUCGAGCGGAUGAGUGGAGCUUGCUCCCUGAUUCAGCGGCGGACGGGUGAGUAAUGCCUAGGAAUCUGCCUGGUAGUGGGGGACAACGUUUCGAAAGGAACGCUAAUACCGCAUACGUCCUACGGGAGAAAGUGGGGGAUCUUCGGACCUCACGCUAUCAGAUGAGCCUAGGUCGGAUUAGCUAGUUGGCGAGGUAAAGGCUCACCAAGGCGACGAUCCGUAACUGGUCUGAGAGGAUGAUCAGUCACACUGGAACUGAGACACGGUCCAGACUCCUACGGGAGGCAGCAGUGGGGAAUAUUGGACAAUGGGCGAAAGCCUGAUCCAGCCAUGCCGCGUGUGUGAAGAAGGUCUUCGGAUUGUAAAGCACUUUAAGUUGGGAGGAAGGGCAGUAAGUUAAUACCUUGCUGUUUUGACGUUACCAACAGAAUAAGCACCGGCUAACUUCGUG